rnacentral:rRNA from 1 species
GGAUUGCCCUAGUAACGGCGAGUGAAGCGGCAAUAGCUCAAAUUUGAAAUCUGGCUCUUUUAGGGUCCGAGUUGUAAUUUGUAGAGGGCGCUUUGGCAUUGGCAGCGGUCUAAGUUCAUUGGAACAGGACGUCACAGAGGGUGAGAAUCCCGUAUGUGGUCGCUGGCCUUUGCUGUGUAAAGCCCCUUCGACGAGUCGAGUUGUUUGGGAAUGCAGCUCUAAAUGGGAGGUAAAUUUCUUCUAAAGCUAAAUACUGGCCAGAGACCGAUAGCGCACAAGUAGAGUGAUCGAAAGAUGAAAAGCACUUUGGAAAGAGAGUCAAAUAGCACGUGAAAUUGUUGAAAGGGAAGCGCUUGCAGCCAGACUUGCCUGUAGUUGCUUAUCUAGACUUUUGUCUAGUGCACUCUUCUGCGGGCAGGCCAGCAUCAGUUUGGGCGGUUGGAUAAAGGUCUCUGUCAUGUACCUCCUUUCGGGGAGGCCUUAUAGGGGAGACGACAUGCAACCAGCCUGGACUGAGGUCCGCGCAUUUGCUAGGAUGCUGGCGUAAUGGCUGUAAGCGGCCCGUCUUGAAACACGGACCAAGGAGUCUAACAUCUAUGCGAGUGUUUGGGUGUCAAGCCCAGACGCGUAAUGAAAGUGAACGGAGGUGGGAACCUUUUAGGUGCACCAUCGACCGAUCCUGAUGUCUUCGGAAGGAUUUGAGUAAGAGCAUGGCUGUUGGGACCCGAAAGAUGGUGAACUAUGCUUGAAUAGGGUGAAGCCAGAGGAAACUCUGGUGGAGGCUCGCAGCGGUUCUGACGUGCAAAUCGAUCGUCAAAUUUGGGCAUAGGGGCGAAAGACUAAUCGAACUAUCUAGUAGCUGGUUCCUGCCGAAGUUUCCCUCAGGAUAGCAGUAACGUAUUCAGUUUUAUGAGGUAAAGCGAAUGAUUAGAGGCCUGGGGGUUGAAACAACCUUCACCUAUUCUCAAACUUUAAAUAUGUAAGAAGUCCUUGUUACUUGAUUGAACGUGGACACUUGAA